GGUUCAAAGGUUCGAGCUCGGACCAAAGAGGGGAUUGCAUUGGCAAUGCCGGUCCAAGUUUGAACCGAUCGAGCCCAGCUUGGUUAAAGCCUGUUCAAGCCAGUUCGAAGGUUCUAGUGGCCAUUUUAGAUCUUGUCCUCCAUUUUGUGUGACUUGUUUUGCUUGAUUUCAUAGGCUGAGCUCUUGCUUCCCUGAUUGGCCAGAUAAGUCUGGUUCUCUGGUAGGCUGUGCACUGUUCCAGUCCUUGAGAACUGGCACUCUACUGGCCAGGGGGGAGGGCAAAGGUGGGGGCUCCCAAAGGAGGGAGUUUCAAUCUUAUUUAAAGCCAAGCCUCUGGCCUGGCAAAAUUAUUCUGACCACAGUCUUCCUGGGCUUCCUUCUGGCCUGCUGUAGCUGUGCUGGUGUGGAGGACUUCUCCAUUCAUAAGCAGGACUGUGUGUGCCCUUAUUUGCUGUGACCUCUGAGUUCAGGGAAUACUACAGACGUUGAGGAGACAAAUCUGAGCCCCACCCCAUGCCAAGUGUCCUAAUAAAAUAUCAUGAGGAAAGUCGAGCCAGGAUCAGUGGUGUCCGCCCAUGGACAAGGACAUUAAUCAAAGCUGUGAAUUCUCUUGGGAAAGAAAUAGGGUGAGGAGAAGGAAGAGGGAAAUAUGUGCCAGUGAAGAACACAUAAAGUGAGGCUGAUCCAAGGGCAUCUGCAUAAUCAAGGAUCUCAAGACUUGAACCAGGAAUCUCAAAGGCUGGAUUCUAGCCUAGGUCUGUGGAUUCAAUUUUCAGAGUCUGCUUCAAGCUCAAGAGGGAAUAUUUUGUACAAUACCUGCCCUUGCAAUUGACUGUCAGUAUGAAGACUCUGGAUCGGUGAGCUCUGUUGUAAACAGAGGCAUUCCUUCCACUUGUUGCGCUUUGGGCUCUUCAGAGCAUGAGCCUCUGAUUUCAGGGACACUGAGCUAAAAUCUAAGGUCCCACUAUGCACUCCUGUGUUUUGGAGUGUUGGCAGAGGGAUGAUCAGAUGAACAUCCCUACAGGUGAUAAAAGGACAUGCGGAUAACAUGUCAGAUCAUCCUUCAGUGAUGUCAGGGCAGGCAAGUACUCAUCACAGCCCCAACAUUAUCAUGUGUAGGGGGUCUGUGAUCCAUCCCACUAUGAUGCAGGCAGAGGAAUGCAAAUCCAGAUGAACAUCUGCAUCCAUGUCAGGCUGAAUCUCCCUCACUGAGUUGAGGCAAGUGGCCACAAACUGAUGACAAAUAGAAAAAAAAUAUUCUCCAUUUCAGUUUGCACUUGCUGGAAAUUUCAUAAUCCUACCAAUUCUUUUUUUUAAAAAAUGAGUAUUCCACACCCCAAAAGAAAAAAGAAAAACCCUAACUUAUCUACUGUGGGUUGAUAUAAUUAAUUAAAGGUUUGGCUUUGACAUUG